rnacentral:lncRNA from 1 species
AUUCAAAGGGUAUUAUGGUCAAAAAGGGGUCUUAGUGUCCAUUUUUUGAAAAAUCAAAUGUUUUUGUAACCGUUUCCCCAAACUUUGGGGGUGUAUGUAUCCUUUUCGUUAAGUUUUAUUAUCUUAGAUACAAUUUGGGUAGAUUCCCAUUAUCAUAAGCACACUGUUGUCACUGUCACAAGAGUUGUAUUGCUGUAAGGAUAACCUCUCACUUCAUAAUGUUAGGAAAUACGUUUCCUUUUUUAAUGAGAAUCUGUAAAUCUUAAAUUAGGAUAUUUCUUAGGUUUUUCUUAUAUAGUAGUUUUCUUAUUUAGUAGAAUUUCUAUUUAAGAAAUAAGUAAUUUUUCAUUUGUGACUUAACUUAUUCUAGGAGGAAACAACUAGUAUAAGAAAAUGAAUAUUUCUCUUACAAGAAAACUACAUAUAGGAGAUUGGAUUCACUUAUUUAUACAAUAUAACAAAAUAAUCAAUGUCUCUGCAAGUAGAUAGUUUCUAAUGUGAGAGAAACGAUGGAUCUAUUGAGAGAUUGAGUGUUAUUGGGGUUUUAGUAUCAGAAAAAUACUAGAGCAAUUGUAAUAAUUUUUUAUAUAGUAGAUUUUUUCUCUUAUCGUCCUUGGCAGCCAUUAU